UUUGAGAACAGACUAGAAGAGCGAAGGAGUGCCAGUAGUCUCCUGGUCUCGAUUUGGAGCGGUCCACAUUCACGGAGGCUGAAGCCUAGGUUGGGUGUCCCUCCUGGUGCUCUCACAGCCCUCGGUUACCCCUACCCUGACGCCACACUGCCCUGGAUUUGCCUGCUGACUGAAAGCCCCUGGACAGUAGAGACCAUGUCUGCCCGUUUCACAGCUGUCACUGCAGUGCCUGGAACACGGUAGCCUCCCAGGGGCCAAUCAGGACAUCUUGUUGGCUCCACCUUCUGUGAUGCCCCCGCUCUGUCUCCUGCCCACCAGCCCUGCUGCUAUCAAUCGCCUGAGCCCAGGGGACAAGCUCCGCUGCCCGUGAGCCAGAUCCAGCCACAACCACUCGUGCACAUGUCAUCCACCUCGGCAGAGCCGAGUAACGGCAACAGUGACCGCAACUGGCAACGAUGAAAAAAUGUGCCCUCUGACCCUUCAGAGCAAAGUUUGCUGACCCCUAGUCUAAGCAUCUGAUCACCUUGGACAGUCCUUUAG